rnacentral:rRNA from 1 species
CGUAUAUUAAAGUUGUUGCGGUUAAAAAGCUCGUAGUUGGAUUUCUGUUGAGAUCGGUCGGUCCCCACUCUGUGGGCGUAUCUGAUAUGGUCUUGGCAUCCUCAUAGGGAACCGGAGGCACUUCACUGUGUGGCCGGGAAUCUAUGACUUUUACUUUGAGGAAAUUAGAGUGUUCAAAGCAGGCGACCGCCUUGAAUACGUUAGCAUGGAAUAAUAAUAUAGGACUUUGGCCCUAUUUUGUUGGUUUCUAGGACUAAAGUAAUGAUUAACAGGGAUAUUUGGGGGCAUUUGUAUUAACCGGUCAGAGGUGGAAUUCUUGGAUUCGGUUACGACAAACUAAUGCGAAAGCAUUUGCCAAGGAUGUUUUCAUUGAUCAAGAACGAAAGUGUGGGGAUCGAAGAUGAUUAGAUACCGUCGUAGUCUACACCAUAAACUAUGCCGAUUAGAGAUUGGAGGUUGCCUAUUCUUAGCUCCUUCAGCAUCUUUCGAGAAAUCAAAAU